GGGGAUUUAGCUCAGUGGUAGAGUGCUUGCCUAGCAAGCACAAGGCCCUGGGUUCGGUCCCCAGCACCA
rnacentral:tRNA from 1 species